UCGCUAGUAAUCGCGCAUCAGCCACGGCGCGGUGAAUACGUUCCCGGGCCUUGUACACACCGCCCGUCAAGCCAUGGGAGCCGGGGGUACCUGAAGUGCGUAACCGCGAGGAGCGCCCUAGGGUAAAACUGGUGACUGGGGCUAAGUCGUAACAAGGUAGC
rnacentral:rRNA from 1 species